rnacentral:rRNA from 1 species
GGAGCGAACGCUGGCGGCAUGCUUAACACAUGCAAGUCGCACGGUUCGGGGGCAACUCCGGGCAGUGGCGGACGGGUGAGUAACGCGUAGGCAUCUAUCCUCGGGUGGGGGACAACCGUGGGAAACUACGGCUAAUACCGCAUGACGUCCGAGGACCAAAGGCGCUUGGGGCAACCUGUGCGCCGCUGGGGAGAGCCUGCGUACGAUUAGCUUGUUGGUGGGUAAAGCCUACCAAGGCGACGAUCGUUAGCUGGUCUGAGAGGACGAUCAGCCACAUUGGGACUG